GCAUGUGGUUUAAUUCGAAGCAACGCGAAGAACCUUACCUAAGCUUGACAUCCCAAUGACAUCUCCUUAAUCGGAGAGUUCCCUUCGGGGACAUUGGUGACAGGUGGUGCAUGGUUGUCGUCAGCUCGUGUCGUGAGAUGUUGGGUUAAGUCCCGCAACGAGCGCAACCCUUGUCUUUAGUUGCCAUCAUUAAGUUGGGCACUCUAGAGAGACUGCCAGGGAUAACCUGGAG
rnacentral:rRNA from 1 species